UACGAAGGGUGCAAGCGUUACUCAGAAUUACUGGGCGUAAAGCGUGCGUAGGUGGUUUGUUAAGUCUGAUGUGAAAGCCCUGGGCUCAACCUGGGAACGGCAUUGGAAACUGGCUUACUAGAGUGCGGUAGAGGGGUGUGGAAUUCCCGGUGUAGCAGUGAAAUGCGUAGAUAUCGGGAGGAACAUCUGUGGCGAAGGCGACACCCUGGACCAGCACUGACACUGAGGCACGAAAGCGUGGGGAGCAAACAGG
rnacentral:rRNA from 1 species